rnacentral:rRNA from 1 species
UCCAGACUCCUACGGGAGGCAGCAGUGGGGAAUAUUGCACAAUGGGGGGAACCCUGAUGCAGCGACGCCGCGUGAGUGAAGAAGUAUUUCGGUAUGUAAAGCUCUCUCAGCAGGGAAGAAGAUGACGGUACCUGGGGAGGAAGCUCCGGCUAACUACGUGCCAGCAGCCGCGGUAAUACGUAGGGAGCGAGCGUUGUCCGGAAUUACUGGGUGUAAAGGGAGCGUAGGCGGGGAUGCAAGUUGGGUGUCAAAACUACCGGCUCAACUGGUAGUCGCACUCAAAACUGCAGCUCUUGAGUGAAGUAGAGGCAGGCGGAAUUCCUAGUGUAGCGGUGAAAUGCGUAGAUAUUAGGAGGAACACCAGUGGCGAAGGCGGCCUGCUGGGCUUUUACUGACGCUGAGGCUCGAAAGUGUGGGGAGCAAACAGGAUUAGAUACCCUAGUAA